CCCCCGAAUAACCUUUUUUUCCCACUAAUCCCGCGUACCCUCUCGUACCCUCUCUUACAGUAACACCCCUCUCCCAUCCCUCGCACCAUCCACAUGGCAUCUUUUUAUUCGAUCCAAAGACCAGGAAAGGUUUGCAUAUACCAUUCGUGAGGGCUUAAGUGGGUCGUACAUAAAUGGCAGCGGCAUCGCUCCACCAACCUACAAACCGGGGUGGACGGUGGCCCCACAAUCCUCGCUUGGGAAACAAUUUAAGGGUUGCUUUGUUUGGGAUGUGGUGACGAUUUCUUAGAAAUUAUUUAUUUUAAAAAUAAUUUUAAAAAAUAAUAAAUUUUAUUAUAUUUAGUUGAUUGAAAAAUUAUUUUAAAAAAUAACAUCAAAGAAAAUCACUAAGAUGGGAGA
rnacentral:lncRNA from 1 species